rnacentral:rRNA from 1 species
CCUACGGGUGGCAGCAGUGGGGAAUAUUGGACAAUGGGCGAAAGCCUGAUCCAGCCAUGCCGCGUGUGUGAAGAAGGCCUUCGGGUUGUAAAGCACUUUCAGUGGGGAAGAAAGCCUUGGGGCUAAUACCCUCGAGGAAGGACAUCACCCACAGAAGAAGCACCGGCUAACUCCGUGCCAGCAGCCGCGGUAAUACGGAGGGUGCGAGCGUUAAUCGGAAUUACUGGGCGUAAAGCGCGCGUAGGCGGUCUGAUAAGCCGGUUGUGAAAGCCCCGGGCUCAACCUGGGAACGGCAUCCGGAACUGUCAGGCUAGAGUGCAGGAGAGGAAGGUAGAAUUCCCGGUGUAGCGGGGAAAUGCGUAGAGAUCGGGAGGAAUACCAGUGGCGAAGGCGGCCUUCUGGACUGACACUGACGCUGAGGUGCGAAAGCGUGGGUAGCAAACAGGAUUAGAUACCCUAGUAGUC